CCUACGGGGGGCAGCAGUGGGGAAUAUUGGACAAUGGGGGGAACCCUGAUCCAGCCAUGCCGCGUGUGUGAAGAAGGCCCUCGGGUUGUAAAGCACUUUCAGUGAGGAAGAACGCCUGGUGGUUAAUACCCAUCAGGAAAGACAUCACUCUCAGAAGAAGCACCGGCUAACUCCGUGCCAGCAGCCGCGGUAAUACGGAGGGUGCGAGCGUUAAUCGGAAUUACUGGGCGUAAAGCGCGCGUAGGUGGCUUGAUAAGCCGGUUGUGAAAGCCCCGGGCUCAACCUGGGAACGGCAUCCGGAACUGUCAAGCUAGAGUGCAGGAGAGGAAGGUAGAAUUCCCGGUGUAGCGGUGAAAUGCGUAGAGAUCGGGAGGAAUACCAGUGGCGAAGGCGGCCUUCUGGACUGACACUGACACUGAGGUGCGAAAGCGUGGGUAGCAAACAGGAUUAGAUACCCUUGUAGUC
rnacentral:rRNA from 1 species